rnacentral:rRNA from 1 species
GACGUAGGAGGCGAGCGUUUGUCCGGAUUCAUUGGGCGUAAAGAGCACGCAGGCGGUUUGGCAAGUCGGACGUGAAAAUCCGGGGCUCAACCCCGGACCUGCAUCCGAAACUGCCCGACUAGAGGUAGGUAGGGGAGAUCGGAAUUCCUGGUGUAGCGGUGAAAUGCGCAGAUAUCAGGAGGAACACCCAUAGCGAAGGCAGCUUGCUGGGACGUUACUGACGCUAAGGCGCGAAAGCGUGGGGAGCGAACAGG